rnacentral:rRNA from 1 species
GUGCUUAACACAUGCAAGUCGAACGGAAAGGCCCUGCUUUUGUGGGGUGCUCGAGUGGCGAACGGGUGAGUAACACGUGAGUAACCUGCCCUUGACUUUGGGAUAACUUCAGGAAACUGGGGCUAAUACCGGAUAGGAGCUCCUGCUGCAUGGUGGGGGUUGGAAAGUUUCGGCGGUUGGGGAUGGACUCGCGGCUUAUCAGCUUGUUGGUGGGGUAGUGGCUUACCAAGGCUUUGACGGGUAGCCGGCCUGAGAGGGUGACCGGCCACAUUGGGACUGAGAUACGGCCCAGACUCCUACGGGAGGCAGCAGUGGGGAAUAUUGCACAAUGGGCGGAAGCCUGAUGCAGCAACGCCGCGUGCGGGAUGACGGCCUUCGGGUUGUAAACCGCUUUCGCCUGUGACGAAGCGUGAGUGACGGUAAUGGGUAAAGAAGCACCGGCUAACUACGUGCCAGCAGCCGCGGUGAUACGUAGGGUGCGAGCGUUGUCCGGAUUUAUUGGGCGUAAAGGGCUCGUAGGUGGUUGAUCGCGUCGGAAGUGUAAUCUUGGGGCUUAACCCUGAGCGUGCUUUCGAUACGGGUUGACUUGAGGAAGGUAGGGGAGAAUGGAAUUCCUGGUGGAGCGGUGGAAUGCGCAGAUAUCAGGAGGAACACCAGUGGCGAAGGCGGUUCUCUGGGCCUUUCCUGACGCUGAGGAGCGAAAGCGUGGGGAGCGAACAGGCUUAGAUACCCUGGUAGUCCACGCUGUAAACGGUGGGUACUAGGUGUGGGGUCCAUUCCACGGGUUCCGUGCCGUAGCUAACGCUUUAAGUACCCCGCCUGGGGAGUACGGCCGCAAGGCUAAAACUCAAAGGAAUUGACGGGGCCCCGCACAAGCGGCGGAGCAUGCGGAUUAAUUCGAUGCAACGCGUAGAACCUUACCUGGGUUUGACAUGGAUCGGGAGUGCUCAGAGAUGGGUGUGCCUCUUUUGGGGUCGGUUCACAGGUGGUGCAUGGCUGUCGUCAGCUCGUGUCGUGAGAUGUUGGGUUAAGUCCCGCAACGAGCGCAACCCUUGUUCACUGUUGCCAGCACGUUAUGGUGGGGACUCAGUGGAGACCGCCGGGGUCAACUCGGAGGAAGGUGGGGAUGACGUCAAGUCAUCAUGCCCCUUAUGUCCAGGGCUUCACGCAUGCUACAAUGGCUGGUACAGAGAGUGGCGAGCCUGUGAGGGUGAGCGAAUCUCGGAAAGCCGGUCUCAGUUCGGAUUGGGGUCUGCAACUCGACCUCAUGAAGUCGGAGUCGCUAGUAAUCGCAGAUCAGCAACGCUGCGGUGAAUACGUUCCCGGGGCUUGUACACACCGCCCGUCAAGUCAUGAAAGUUGGUAACACCCGAAGCCGGUGGCCUAACCGAAUGUGGGGGAGCCGUCGAAGGUGGGACUGGUGAUUAGGACUAA